AGGGGAAUUUCUGAGUCAUAUGUUGACUCUGACUUUGUGAGGAACUGUCAUUAUUUUCCAAAGUGGUUGCACUAUUUUAUAUUCCUACCAGCAGU
rnacentral:pre_miRNA from 1 species